GACGAACGCUGGCGGCGCGCCUAACACAUGCAAGUCGAACGAAGAAAUGAGAGCUUGCUCGAAUUUCUUAGUGGCGGACGGGUGAGUAACACGUGAAGAACCUGCCUUACAGAGGGGGACAACAGUCGGAAACGACUGCUAAUACCGCAUAAGCCCACGACCCGGCAUCGGGUUGAGGGAAAAGGAGCAAUCCGCUUUGAGAUGGCCUCGCGUCCGAUUAGCUAGUUGGUGAGGUAACGGCCCACCAAGGCGACGAUCGGUAGCCGGACUGAGAGGUUGAACGGCCACAUUGGGACUGAGACACGGCCCAG
rnacentral:rRNA from 1 species